UUGUGCUCUAUUUGUAUAUUAUGAAUUGAAUUGCAUCCUGCUGUCAUAUAUAACAAAUUAAAAUAAAAAUUUAAAAGGUAAGUGCAAUGUAAAAGAAAGGAGGGAAGAAAACAGAGAUGCAUACAACAAAAGUAUAAUAUGAUCUUAAAUAUCCCACAGAGAAAGAUUAUUGAAGACUUUGAAGAACAGGGAUAUAUGAGGUAUAUAAUGUUCACUUUGAAUUUAUUUAAAUUUAUUUAAAUUUCAGACCAUAUAUAUUAUAUACUAUACAUGUGUGUUUAUAUCAUUUUCAUAAACUGAUAUGUAACUGUACAUAUGUUUGUAUAUACAUAUAUAUUUUAUCUAGGGAUAGAGUAAAAAUUCACACAAUGCAAGAGUAUAAAGUGAAAAAUAAAAUUCCUUUUCUGUACCAAACCCUAAGGAGAGACUACUCUUAACAGUUGCUUGGCUAUCCUUCUAACUAUUUUCUAUGGAUAUGUGAGAAUAUAUAUGAAUAGUAUUGUUUUUAAUUAUUAAUCCUACAUAGAUUUAAACACAAUGGUUUUUAAAAAUAUGCACUAUUUAAAUUAAGAUAAUUCUAUAAUCUGAUGAGUUUGGUAGGCUAUGUUUUAUAGUGUUUCUCCAAUGAGGACUUGAAACCCAACCUUCCUGUUACCUUCCUCUUGUAACAGGAUGAUGUUUGGUAGCCAUUCACUCAUCAUACGAGGCUACAAAAUGCAAAGGGAAGGUUUAUUAGAAAGCUGGUUUGUUUAAACCUUGUUCCAAAAUCAUACCCCCCUGAGACAUGCUUAGGACAAUGCAGGUAUAACAGGUAUGUAUCCUGAAGGCCCAGAAGAGAACAAAGAUUUUUUUUUUUUAAUUUGGUUUACCCCCAUCUUAGAUAGUUUGAAAUUAUAAACAUUAUCUGCCAAAUCUUUCAUAUUGUUCUCAAUUCCUCUGUGUGUUCAGUCACAAACAUUUUGCAAGCUGACACUUCUUUAAUCCGUGUAAAAUUCAAUAGUGCCCCUGAUGGGAGCUAAAUUUUGGACAUCCUGCCUAAACUUUAUUUCUAGCAAAUGGAAGAGGAAAUCUAUUGAAAAUUUUAUAGUAUAAUCACCUGGAAGAACAAGGUACCUAAGAAGAUUUUCUCAAGAGAGUCAUACAAAGCUUUUCUCUUUCAAGUUGAUGAGUUUAUAUAAAUGUCUAAGCCUGGGUGGAUUGAAGACUUUGAGGUUAGAAAAGUUAUGUCAUUCUUUGUCCAGAACUUCAUAGCAGACAUUGUUCCCAUGUUUGUCAUUAAAGAUAGUUUUUCCUCAGCAGUAAUACUCUGGGGAGGUGGAAGACUAAAAGACAGUGGAAUGUGGCAAGUUACAUAAGAAUUUCAUGGCGAGAGAGCAUUUUGUCUCCUUCCCACUCUAUUUGCAGUGAUCAUGAAACUCAGAAGCUCAUCUUCAUCUUUCCAGAGAAAGUAACUUCCCAAAGAAUAUCAGAAUCCAUUUAACUCUCCAUUUGUCCUAAUGAAAUCUUCUGUUGUACACAAGAUGCAGAUGACUUGAGCUGAGCAGCUUUCCUUUGCCGUGCCUUUCCACCAUGAUGUUCUGCCUCAACUCAGGCCCAGAGCAAUGGAGCCAGUUGACCAUGAAACUCUGAAACCCUGAGCCAAAAUAAAUCUUUCCUCCUAUAAGUUAUUUAUGCCAUUUAUUCUGAGGACUGAUUAUCCUUAAGAGAAUUAAGAAAAGAAACAGUUUGUUUCUUCAACAAUGACUGAAGCUCCCCAUUUUUCUAAACCUGAGAGAGAAAAUUUUAGAGCUAAUGAGAUCUAGAGAUUCUUUUUUAAGUGGGGGAUUUUAUGUUAUUGUCUACCCUCUACUUCUAGAAUUUUACUUAAGUUUUCUUUUUAACAUCUGAUCAUGUCAUACCUCUAGUUAAGAGCUUUUGCUUCUCUACUUAACUCGUAGGUUGACUGGAACAUCUUUAGACUUUAACAUGACACACAAAGAUGCAAAAAUUCUACCCAUUGAACUGCUGCUCUGUGGUUUGAGUUGCCUUUCCUUCUUCUGUUAUAUAUCCCAGCAGGUGACACCCUAUAGAAGCUCUACACACAUUUGCUUAAUGUUCUUUCCUCCUCCAGAGUCCUUUCUUGCUUUUAACUUUGGCAAAAUUCUAUCUCUGAGGACAUUCCUUAUUGAGGACUUAUGACUAUUUAUUUGUAUCUCCAUCAUCAAAAUCUUUAUUACAUUGUAUUAUAACUUCUCUGUUAAAGACUUUCAACUCAUUAAAGUAUUACUUCAUUUCA